UACGUAGGGUCCAAGCGUUGUCCGGAUUUAUUGGGCGUAAAGAGCUCGUAGGCGGCUCAGUAAGUCGGAUGUGAAAACUCGGGGCUCAACCCCGAGACGCCAUCCGAUACUGCUGUGGCUUGAGUCUGGUAGGGGAACACGGAAUUCCUGGUGUAGCGGUGAAAUGCGCAGAUAUCAGGAGGAACACCAAUUGCGAAGGCAGCUCGCUGGGACGUUACUGACGCUGAGACGCGAAAGCGUGGGGAGCAAACAGG
rnacentral:rRNA from 1 species